AGAGUUUGAUCAUGGCUCAGAUUGUACGCUGGCGGCAGGCUUUACACAUGCAAGUCGAACGGUAACAGGAAGGAAGCUUGCUUUCUUUGCUUGACGAGUGGCGGACGGGUGAGUAAUGCUUGGGAAUCUGGCUUAUGGAGGGGGAUAACUACGGGAAACUGUAGCUAAUACCGCGUAAUAUCUUCGGAUUAAAGGGUGGGACCGUAAGGCCACCUGCCAUAAGAUGAGCCCAAGUGGGAUUAGGUAGUUGGUGGGGUAAAGGCCUACCAAGCCGACGAUCUCUAGCUGGUCUGAGAGGAUGACCAGCCACACUGGAACUGAGACACGGUCCAGACUCCUACGGGAGGCAGCAGUGGGGAAUAUUGCACAAUGGGGGGAACCCUGAUGCAGCCAUGCCGCGUGAAUGAAGAAGGCCUUCGGGUUGUAAAGUUCUUUCGGUGAUGAGGAAGGUGUUUGUUUUAAUAGAACAAGCAAUUGACGUUAGUCACAGAAGAAGCACCGGCUAACUCCGUGCCAGCAGCCGCGGUAAUACGGAGGGUGCGAGCGUUAAUCGGAAUGACUGGGCGUAAAGGGCACGCAGGCGGUGACUUAAGUGAGAUGUGAAAGCCCCGAGCUUAACUUGGGAAUUGCAUUUCAUACUGGGUCGCUAGAGUAUUUUAGGGAGGGGUAGAAUUCCACGUGUAGCGGUGAAAUGCGUAGAGAUGUGGAGGAAUACCGAAGGCGAAGGCAGCCCCUUGGGAAUAUACUGACGCUCAUGUGCGAAAGCGUGGGGAGCAAACAGGAUUAGAUACCCUGGUAGUCCACGCUGUAAACGCUGUCGAUUUGGGGAUUGGGCUUAGAGCUUGGUGCCCGUAGCU
rnacentral:rRNA from 1 species